rnacentral:rRNA from 1 species
GACGAACGCUGGCGGCGUGCCUAACACAUGCAAGUCGAGCGGGGUCCAUCCGGUAGCAAUACUGGGGAAGACCUAGCGGCGAACGGGUGAGUAACACGUGAGAAACCUGCCCCGAAGUCUGGGAUAACCCGAGGAAACUCGAGCUAAUACCGGAUGCCUUCUUCUGAUCGCAUGGUCGGAUGAAGAAAGAUUCAUCGCUUCGGGAGGGUCUCGCGGCCUAUCAGCUAGUUGGCGGGUAACGGCCCACCAAGGCGUCGACGGGUAGCUGGUCUGAGAGGACGAUCAGCCACACUGGGACUGAGACACGGCCCAGACUCCUACGGGAGGCAGCAGUGGGGAAUAUUGCGCAAUGGGCGAAAGCCUGACGCAGCAACGCCGCGUGCGGGAUGAAGGCCUUCGGGUUGUAAACCGCUUUCAGUGGGACGAAGUUCAGACGGUACCCACAGAAGAAGCCCCGGCCAACUACGUG